UUCAUUCGUAACUUAGCACUGCAUUCAAUAUAUGGAAUUUUCAACUGACGCGCUAUACUUUGUGCCUCUUCAAUUGAUACCUGAAAAAAUUCAAAUAGAUUGAGAUACUUCAAGUAGAUUGUCGAGGGCGAAAUGUCAUCGAGUACCGAGUUGUCGAGGAUACCGAUUGAUGGCAAAUUGGCGCUUGGCGCCGAUCCAUUACCCGUCAAGCACGACGACGAUGACGUCGACGCGUCGCGCUUCUCGCGCACUUCGUCAGGAUUGACGUUCCACGGCGCUGCCGCGUAUGACCAUAUAUGACGAUUGCGUUCACACGCUAUGACAUAAUACUUUAUAAUCCAUCAGCCAGCCUACUAUCGUAACACGUCGCACGCUACACGAUAAAAAACGAUAAACCUCGCUCGAGACUUUUACAAUUAUGUCAUUCGCGCUUAUCUGUUCCAGGAAUCGAAAUUUGAAAAAAAUAUCAAACUGGCCGAUGAGCGAGUCGAAGAAAACUCGGAAGACUCGGAGGAACAAAAUUGCGUCUCGAUAAGAAAGAAAUUAAGGAAUACGAGGAAGAAACUUACGAGAGAAAAAAAACAAACUCCGUUUCUCGUAAUCGACGUAUCUGUGACACUCGAUUGUCGCACGACGUAUACAAUAAGAUACUCCCAGUUAGCAGUGAGAAACAAGCACGACAUCGGACGCUGUACUUACUUGAAUGAAUUGUAUCGUGAUCGCCGAUUUCCCGACACCACCACCACCGACGACGACGAGCUUGGAAACGACAAAAAAGAUUACAUCGCGGAACAAUGAACGUGAUAUUCUGAUGAAUGAGAGUAUUUAAUUGAUUUAUUUCGCAUAAAAUAUACAAGAGACGUCGAAAAAGUUUCUGAAGAAACUGAAUGGAUUAUCAUGAAAUAAAGUUAAAAGAAAUUUGUAGCUUUCUCUCUCCUCUCUCUCUCUCUCUUGCCACUUUCAAAGCCCUUCAAAUAUAGGAUAAAAAGAAAUUUGAGUUUUGAAGGAUGACGAGGAUGAGAGGAUUGGCUGAAUUAAACAACUUAUUGUUUUUGCCCAAAGCAAGUAAUCUUAACAAAUGUAUUGAACGCAACUCUACAAAACAACGUUCUCAAUUACUGGACUAGAUGUCUUAUCAUAACAUUGAGCUCGAUAGGAAUCACUUCGAGGGAGACAAGCCAGACACAUAUCUUUUUCGACAUUUCUUUAUAAUUCUUCUUUAUUUUGUUUAAUUCACUCAGCUCUCUGCAACGUUUUGGACACAUCUUGUAUAUCAUUAAACUUGAAUUUUGUCCGAUAUUGCACUUACAAAGAAAUUACAUAUCGCAUCGUAAUUGUCACGCGAUUGUCUAUAAUGUGAUUUUCAACACAUUUAUCGUAAAUUGCGCACGAAAUGAUAAGAAAAAAUUUUGAGUAGAAAAUCUCUAUGACACGAUUAGACAAAUAUAUCUUUCUUUUUUGCUCAAUUAAGGCACCGUUGUACCUAACUUAGCUCGAAGAAGUCGAGUUGCUCUCUACAUUCGCGCGAA